CAUAGGUUUGGUCCCAGCCUUCCCAUUAAUUCUUGAUAGACUUACACAUGCAAGCAUCCACAUCCCAGUGAAAAUGCCCUCCAAGUUAAUAAGACUAAGAGGAGCUGGUAUCAAGCACACACUUGUAGCUCAUGACACCUUGCUUAGCCACACCCCCACGGGAGACAGCAGUGAUAAAAAUUAAGCCAUAAACGAAAGUUUGACUAAGUCAUAUUGAUUAGGGUUGGUAAAUCUCGUGCCAGCCACCGCGGUCAUACGAUUAACCCAAAUUAAUAGGCAUACGGCGUAAAACGUGUUAAAGCACUACAUUAAAUAAAGUUAAAUUUCAAUUAAACUGUAAAAAGUCAUAAUUGCAAUGAAAAUAGAUAACGAAAGUAACUUUACAGCCACUGAAACACGAUAGCUAAGACCCAAACUGGGAUUAGAUACCCCACUAUGCUUAGCCCUAAACACAAAUAAUUAUAUCAACAAAAUUAUUCGCCAGAGUACUACCGGCAAUAGCCUAAAACUCAAAGGACUUGGCGGUGCUUUAUACCCUUCUAGAGGAGCCUGUUCUAUAAUCGAUAAACCCCGAUAAACCUUACCACCCCUUGCUAAUUCAGUCUAUAUACCGCCAUCUUCAGCAAACCCUAAAAAGGAAUAAAAGUAAGCUUAAUCAUUUUACAUAAAAACGUUAGGUCAAGGUGUAACCUAUGGGGUGGAAAGAAAUGGGCUACAUUUUCUAACUUAAGAAAAUCUAUCACGAAAAUUAUUAUGAAAAUUAAUAAUUAAAGGAGGAUUUAGCAGUAAACUAAGAAUAGAGUGCUUAGUUGAAUUAGGCCAUGAAGCACGCACACNNNNCCCGUCACCCUCCUCAAAUAAACACAAUAUUCCUAAACUUAUUAAUACAUAUAAUUCCUAUGAGAGGAGACAAGUCGUAACAAGGUAAGCAUACUGGAAAGUGUGCUUGGAUAAAU
rnacentral:ncRNA from 1 species